GAAACGACUGCUAAGACUGGAUAGGAAAAGUGAAGGCAUCUUUACUUUUUUAAAAGACCUUCUUUGAAGGUAUGCUUAAGGAGGGGCGUGCGACACAUUAGUUAGUUGGCAGGGUAAAGGCCUACCAAGACUAUGAUGUGUAGCUGGACUGAGAGGUUGAACAGCCACAUUGGGACUGAGACACGGCCCAAACUCCUACGGGAGGCAGCAGUAGGGAAUUUUCGGCAAUGGAGGAAACUCUGACCGAGCAACGCCGCGUGAACGAUGAAGUACCUCGGUAUGUAAAGUUCUUUUAUUAAGGAAGAAAAAAGAGUGGAAAAACUCCCUUGACGGUACUUAAUGAAUAAGCCCCGGCUAAUUAUGUGCCAGCAGCCGCGGUAAUACAUAAGGGGCGAGCGUUAUCCGGAAUUAUUGGGCGUAAAGGGUGCGUAGGCGGUUUAAUAAGUCUAUAGUUUAAUUUCAGCGCUUAACGCUGUUGUGCUAUAGAAACUGUUUUACUAGAGUGAGAUAGAGGCAAGCGGAAUUCCAUGUGUAGCGGUAAAAUGCGUAAAUAUAUGGAGGAACAUCAGAGGCGUAGGCGGCUUGCUGGGUCUUUACUGACGCUGAGGCACGAAAGCGUGGGGAGCAAACAGGAUUAGAUACCCUGGUAGUCCACGCCGUAAACGAUGAGUACUAAGUGUCGGGUAAAACCGGUACUGAAGUUAACACAUUAAGUACUCCGCCUGAGGAGUACGUACGCAAGUAUGAAACUUAAAGGAAUUGACGGGACUCCGCACAAGCGGUGGAUCAUGUUGUUUAAUUCGAAGAUACACGAAAAACCUUACCAGGUCUUGACAUUUUCUUGCGAAGUUAUAGAAAUAUAAUGGAGGUUAUCAGGAAAACAGGUGGUGCACGGNUUGUCGUCAGCUCGUGUCGUGAGAUGUUAGGUUAAGUCCUAAAACGAGCGCAACCCUUGUCGUUAAUUGCCAGCAUGUAAUGAUGGGGACUUUAACGAGACUGCCAAUGAAAAAUUGGAGGAAGGUGGGGAUUACGUCAAAUCAUCAUGCCCCUUAUGAUCUGGGCUACAAACGUGAUACAAUGGUUGAUACAAAGAGUAGCUGAAACGCGAGUUCUUAGCCAAUCUCACAAAAUCAAUCUCAGUUCGGAUUGAAGUCUGCAACUCGACUUCAUGAAGUUGGAAUCGCUAGUAAUCGUGAAUCAGCAUGUCGCGGUGAAUACGUUCUCGGGGUUUGUACACACCGCCCGUCA
rnacentral:rRNA from 1 species